GAGAGAGGCGGAGCUGUUGAGCUGCGGCUGAAGAAGACGUGAGUGCGGAGGCUGAAAGUGCCCUUCAGGAAGACCUGGAGCCGCCGCUUGAAGGGAAGAGUGUCGGCAGCCUGAGGAGAUUUUCUGUGUUGGAAGUACUCCUUCACCGGUGACGAACCUGCCAUCGACCGCAAGGAGAUUUAAGAAAUUGUAGGACUACACAAACAGCCCUGAAUUGCGGAGGACGAAGGAGUUGCGCGGCCCCUUUCCCUCGGCCCUUCUGGAGAGCCGGUCUGACGCGGGUGUUCUUGGGGAGAUCGCCCACCUGCCUGUCUUUCCCUGCUCACUGUACAAGCUGCCCUGCAGCCCAGGGUAGAGGCUGAGGAACCUUGGGAAUGCCACAAGUCAUGGAAAUUGAGUCAAGUCACCCGAGAAGAAGUUCAAAGAAAUAGCCUGUGUGAGACCACGGAGGACAACUGGCUGUGGUGGUUGAGCAACCGAGAUAGGAGAGGCUGAAGAGUGGAAAAGAAGAGGCCUGUGUAAAGGUCACCUGUAACAUUCUAACCAGAGCGGCAAACCCCAGUUGUAAUGGGAGAGUUUAAAAUGAAACUAGGGAAAGUGAUUAUUAGUUUAUUUUAAAAGCCUAGAAGACUAAAUUAAUUUAUUUACUUAAGGAGUUUGUGGCUUUUAUUAGAGUCGUCCAUCAUUGUUUCCGAGAACUUUUGGAGAGGAUGGGAAGUUGCUGAUAUAUGGCUCAGUUUUAUUUUUGGAAAAUAGUAACGGGUGCUCAUGUUCCUACACUUCACUAUUAACAUAUGUUAGCCUUUUGUCUGUUUGCUUCAGUUCUAUUUAAAAAUCGAAAUAAACACGAUAGGUAAGGCUGUGAAGUACCACAUGAAUCUUUCUUCCAUUCAUCUUUUUUCCUCAAAGGUAGCCGCUAUCAUGUGUGUGUGUGUGUGUGUGUGUGUGUAUUACUGGUAAUUAAACCAGGGCCUUUGUACUGGGCUACAUUCCCAACUCUUUAUUUUGAGACAGGGUCUUGCUAACUUGCAAAAUUUCAUAGGCUUGGCUCAAACUUGCCAUUCUCUUGCUCCAGCCUCCCAGAGUGCUGGGAUUACAGGCAUGUGCCACCAGGCCCAGUUUAUAUCAUAAAUUUGUUGCCUUUCUUCCCACUUUAUGUUUUU
rnacentral:lncRNA from 1 species